rnacentral:rRNA from 1 species
AGCGAACGCUGGCGGCAGGCCUAACACAUGCAAGUCGAACGGAUCCUUCGGGAUUAGUGGCGGACGGGUGAGUAACACGUGGGAACGUGCCCUUUGGUUCGGAACAACUCAGGGAAACUUGAGCUAAUACCGGAUGUGCCCUUGGGGAAAGAUUAUCGCCAUUGGAGCGGCCCGCGUCUGAUUAGCUAGUUGGUGGGGUAAAGGCCCACCAAGGCGACGAUCAGUAGCUGGUCUGAGAGGAUGAUCAGCCACAUUGGGACUGAGACACGGCCCAAACUCCUACGGGAGGCAGCAGUGGGGAAUCUUGCGCAAUGGGCGAAAGCCUGACGCAGCCAUGCCGCGUGAAUGAUGAAGGUC